GACGAACCGAGCGAACGUUGUUCGGAAUCACUGGGCUUAAAGGGCGCGUAGGCGGGUUGUCAAGUCUGGGGUGAAAUCCCACGGCUCAACCGUGGAACUGCCUUAGAUACUGACGGCCUCGAGGGAGAUAGGGGCGAGCGGAACUGUGAGUGGAGCGGUGAAAUGCGUUGAUAUUCACAGGAACUCCGGUGGCGAAGGCGGCUCGCUGGAUCGUGUCUGACGCUGAGGCGCGAAAGCUAGGGGAGCAAACGGG
rnacentral:rRNA from 1 species